GUGGGGAAUAUUGGGCAAUGGGCGAAAGCCUGACCCAGCAACGCCGCGUGAAGGAAGAAGGUCUUCGGAUUGUAAACUUCUUUUAUGAGGGACGAAGGACGUGACGGUACCUCAUGAAUAAGCCACGGCUAACUACGUGCCAGCAGCCGCGGUAAUACGUAGGUGGCAAGCGUUAUCCGGAUUUACUGGGUGUAAAGGGCGCGUAGGCGGGGAUGCAAGUCAGAUGUGAAAUCUAUGGGCUUAACCCAUAAACUGCAUUUGAAACUGUAUCUCUUGAGUGCUGGAGAGGUAGAUGGAAUUCCUUGUGUAGCGGUGAAAUGCGUAGAUAUAAGGAAGAACACCAGUGGCGAAGGCGAUCUACUGGACAGUAACUGACGCUGAGGCGCGAGAGCGUGGGGAGCAAACAGGAUUAGAAACCCUAGUAGUCC
rnacentral:rRNA from 1 species